AUGGAUGAUGUUUACGGUAGAAUAGAGGUCUUCCCGCAGCACUUCACGCCCAACAAAGACCCCAUGGACGCUGCCGAAGGUCUGUCCACAAGUAAGAGCAACAUGGAUCCUUCACCAAGUCCGCGUAGGCGUUCUUGGACCCCGAAACGAGUCAAGGGACCUGCGUCGCUUCUGCAACUCUUGUCUAUUCCUCGCAUUAGGUGGUCUUCCAGCAACGAGGAUGACGACAAGAUCGAGUUGACCAGAGCUGAAGUAGAAUCAUUACGAAGUGAAAUCGCCGAUGCCGAUGAUAGAGAGUCCCAGUUAAAAGCCCGGUUAGAGAAUAUCGACGAAGUCUUGAGAUAUGCGCGCCUUUCUGGGUACCUCCAUAUUAGAAGUAGAUGGACUCAACUUCCUGGGGAGCCGCCUAUCAUAGACGAUGCCGAUGUGGAUGACUGGCUUCCCCGCUUUGUUGUCCUACAAGGACAGUGUUUAUACUACUAUCUGAAGUCUACAGACCUGAGCCCGCAGGAAUCGACGCUGCUGCGCGACGUGGUGGAGGUAGGUCAGCUCCCCAACUUUGUGCCGGAGGACGGGAAAACGAGAUACGCCUUCUUCAUACUGACCCGGCAGGGCCUGAGGUUCGAGUGCUCGAGCAGCUGUGAGAUACAGGUGGAUUCGUGGGUAAGGGCCGUAAGAAGCGACUGCAAACUGGCAGAGGCAGGUGCCGAGGCGAAGAGCAAGACGAGCGGUGGAUGGUGA
rnacentral:rRNA from 1 species